rnacentral:rRNA from 1 species
GACGAACGCUGGCGGCGUGCUUAACACAUGCAAGUCGAACGAAGAGCGACGGAAGCUUGCUUCUAUCAAUCUUAGUGGCGAACGGGUGAGUAACGCGUAAUCAACCUGCCCUUCAGAGGGGGACAACAGAUGGAAACGACUGCUAAUACCGCAUACGAUCUAAUCUCGGCAUCGAGGAUGGAUGAAAGGUGGCCUCUACAUGUAAGCUAUCACUGAAGGAGGGGAUUGCGUCUGAUUAGCUAGUUGGAGGGGUAACGGCCCACCAAGGCGAUGAUCAGUAGCCGGACUGAGAGGAUGAACGGCCACAUUGGGACUGAGACACGGCCCAGACUCCUACGGGAGGCAGCAGGGGGGAAUCUUCCGGAAUGGACGAAAGUCUGACGGAGCAACGCCGCGUGAGUGAUGACGGCCUUCGGGUUGUAAAGCUCGGUUAAUCGGGACGAAAGGGCUUCUUGCGAAUAGGGAGAAGGAUUGACGGUACCGGAAUAGAAAGCCACGGCUAACUACGUG